ensembl:lncRNA
GACCACUAACGUGGGCUGGGGACUUGAAGAGAACUUUUGCAGCAGGCCUGCCUCUCUGAAUUCCUGGUAAGACUGGGAGUGGUCGAGAGCUCAGGGCUUUUGUAUUUCAGAAAACCCAGUCCCCAUGGAUGCCAACUGCAGAUUUCCCAGCACAGAACAAAACUGUGUUUUCCCCUCUCGGGAACCCAUUUAACUAGCAGGCCUGUGAGCCACAGGUGAGGAGACCAGCUCUGUCCCCGAGAGGCCACACCCGUGGAAAAUGGGAAAGUCAUCUCCUUCCGUCUAAGCAGAAGGAGUGGCAAAGAGACCAAUUGGAUGGGGGUAGGGGCGCUGCAGAUAGGACUCAGGGACCAGGUAUUCUAGGUAAGGGGCCAGGAGAAGGCAGCUAUUCCAGCUUGCAGCAUCUCAGAGGCUGCACUAAGUGAAGACCAGAAUGUCAGGGGCAUUGCUCGGGCCCUCAGUCUGCAGGGGCUUGGGAUGUACCUCGGUCUUCACAGUGAUAAGGGCACAGCGCCCAGUGCCAUGUGGGGGCCAGCACGCCCUUCCCGGCCCCCACCAUCUGUAUGGUGGGGUCAGAAGCACUGGCCUCGAAAGAUUCAGAGAAGAAAAGACAGACAGCGUCGGCCCAAAAGCUGAAGAGAGGGGCUGACGCUGGACGGGAGGUGGUGAGUGUUCUCAGAGUUGGACCCUCAAAGAGGGCCGAGCCCCAUGUCCUGGCUAUUGUAAGUGGUCCUGCUGUGAACACUGCGGUACAUGUAUCUUUUUCAAUCAGAACUUUCUCUGGACAUAUGCCCAGGAGUGGGAUUGCAAGAUCAUAUGGUAACCCUAUUUUAAGUUUUGUAAGGAAUCUCUAUACUGUUUUCCAUAGUGGCUGCAUUUUUCUGUGUCUUUAAAUAAGACCAAUGAUGGUUCCAGCACCCCUCCACACAUUCUCCGCUUCUACCUCCCCAUCCCUGGAGCAGGGCUUUGUCCUUGUGGGAAAUAAAGCCCACCGGCACACACCCAAGGAACGGACUUGGAGACAAGAGGUGCGGCGGGAAGCGAGGCUUUAAUGACGGUCUUGCCAGGUGGAUUCUUUACCGACUGAGCUACCAGGAGAGUCCAUGAAUACUAGAAUGGGUAGCCUAUCCCUUCUUCAGGGGAUCUUCCCAACCCAGGAAUGGAACUGGGGUCUCCAGCCUUGAGGGCGGAUUGUUUACCAUCCGAGCCGCCGGAUGAGGUGACACGGUGACAUUGCAGGUUCUGAAGGAGUUACAGGGUGGGACUGGAGAGUCCUUGUUUCCAGUUGUUUCCAAGGUGGUCCGGUCAGAGGACCACCCUUCAGGUAGGAGGCUCUCAAGCCUAAAGACUUAAAGCUUUGCAGUUCAAGUGGUUCCUUGAUUGGACAAACCAGCAGCAUUUGGUGAAUUGGAAAAUCAGAUCCAAGCCUGGCUUCACUGAUUGCAAAAUGGGUGGGGUCAUGAGAAAGUUCAAAGGCCUCUGAGAGCCACCAGGGAAUUCUUAGGGGUUCCUGACAAGCCCACGGGAACUAGACAGGCGUGUCACUUCUACUGGCAACAACCAGGUGGCCGCUGAUCUGAGUGGGCCCGGGUCUCUCUCAGAAGAGCUCGGGGGGCUCCCCUGGUGGUCCGGGGGUUAAGAAUCCACCUGCCAAUGCAGGGAACACAGGUUUGAUCCCUGUUCCAGGAAAAUCCCACAUGCUGCAGAGCGACUAAGCCCGUGCUCCACAACUACUGAGCCAGCGCUCUGGAGCCUGCGAGCUGCCAGUACUGAAGCCUGGGUGCCUAGAGCCUGUGCUCCACGAGAAGAGAAGCCACUGCAGUGAGAAGCCCGAGCACCAAACGAAGAGCAGCCCCUGCUCGCCCCAAGUACAGAAAGCCUGAAUGCUAAUAAUGAUCGACGCUUGGGUUCUCAGUAGAGCAUAGGUUCCUCUGUCUCAGAGCAGGGUGACAGGGAAGGAAAGAGAUUAUUAGCAUAGAACCCUUGUGAGAGAUACAAGGGGGCUGGCGAGGGAGUGCCUCGCUGAGAACUUAGUGGCUACAUUUUUUAAAAAGUUUUAAGGGAGGAGACGCGUAUACCUUUGGCUGAUUCAUGUUGAUGUGUGGCAGAAACCAACACAACAUUGUAAAGCCCAAUUAAAAAU